rnacentral:rRNA from 1 species
AUUGAACGCUGGCGGCAGGCCUAACACAUGCAAGUCGAGCGAGCGGCGGACGGGUGAGUAAUGCCUAGUCAACUGCCCGUUAGAGGGGGAUAACCACUGGAAACGGUCUCUAAUCCCGCAUACUCUCCGAUGACCCUAGAUCGGAUUAGCGAGUUGGUGGGGUAAAGGCUAACCUAGGCGACGAUCCCUAACUGGUCUGAGAGGAUGCUCAGUCACACUGGAACUGAGACACGGUCCAGACUCCUACGGGAGGCAGCAGUGGGGAAUAUUGCACAAUGGGCGCAAGCCUGAUGCAGCCAUGCCGCGUGUGUGAAGAAGGCCUUCGGGUUGUAAAGCACUUUAAGCGGGGAGGCGUUACCCGCAGAAGAAGCACCGGCUAACUCCGUGCCAGCAGCCGCGGUAAUUC